rnacentral:rRNA from 1 species
UUAUGUAGGCAUGUAUCUUAGGCAAAUCCGGGGUACUCUAUGCUGAGAUCUGAUAGCAAGCUGUACUUGUACAGCGAAGUGGUUGAUGCCAUGCUUCCAGGAAAAGUCUCUAAGCUUCAGUUACACAGGAAUCGUACCCGAAACCGACACAGGUGGUCAGGUCGAGUAGACCAAGGCGCUUGAGAGAACUCUGCUGAAGGAACUAGGCAAAAUGGUACCGUAACUUCGGGAGAAGGUACGCUGUUGUUGGCGAUGGAACUCGCUUCCUGAGCUGACGACAGCCGCAGAAACCAGGCCGCUGCAACUGUUUAUUAAAAACAUAGCACUCUGCAAACACGAAAGUGGACGUAUAGGGUGUGAUGCCUGCCCGGUGCUGGAAGGUUAAUUGAUGGGGUUAGCGUAAGCGAAGCUCUUGAUCGAAGCCCCAGUAAACGGCGGCCGUAACGAUAACGGUCCUAAGGUAGCGAAAUUCCUUGUCGGGUAAGAUCCGACCUGCACGAAUGGCAUAAUGAUGGCGGCGCUGUCUCCAGCAGAGGCUCAGUGAAAUCGAAAUCGCUGUGAAGAUGCAGUGUACCCGCGGCUAGACGGAAAGACCCCGUGAACCUUUACUGCAGCUUGACACUGAACUUUGACCUUACUUGUGUAGGAUAGGUGGGAGGCUUUGAAGCUGGAACGCUAGUUCCAGUGGAGCCGUCCUUGAAAUACCACCCUGGUAAUGUUGAGGUUCUAACUCUGUCCCGUGAUCCGGGACGAGGACCGUGUCUGGUGGGUAGUUUGACUGGGGCGGUCUCCUCCUAAAGAGUAACGGAGGAGUACGAAGGUGCGCUCAGCGUGGUCGGAAAUCACGCGUAGAGUAUAAAGGCAAAAGCGCGCUUAACUGCGAGACCCACAAGUCGAGCAGGUACGAAAGUAGGUCUUAGUGAUCCGGUGGUUCUGUAUGGAAGGGCCAUCGCUCAACGGAUAAAAGGUACUCUGGGGAUAACAGGCUGAUACCGCCCAAGAGUUCAUAUCGACGGCGGUGUUUGGCACCUCGAUGUCGGCUCAUCUCAUCCUGGGGCUGAAGCAGGUCCCAAGGGUAUGGCUGUUCGCCAUUUAAAGAGGUACGCGAGCUGGGUUUAGAACGUCGUGAGACAGUUCGGUCCCUAUCUACCGUGGGCGCUGGAAAUUUGAGAGGAUCUGCUCCUAGUACGAGAGGACCAGAGUGGACGAACCUCUGGUGUACCGGUUGUGACGCCAGUCGCAUCGCCGGGUAGCUAUGUUCGGAAGGGAUAACCACUGAAAGCAUCUAAGCGGGAAGCCUACCUCAAGAUAAGAUUUCCCUAGGACUUUAUGUCCUCUAAAGAGCCGUUCGAGACUAGGACGUUGAUAGGUUGGAUGUGGAAGCAUAGUGAUAUGUGAAGCUGACCAAUACUAAUUGCUCGU